rnacentral:snRNA from 1 species
GUGCUCGCUUCGGCAGCCCAUAUACUAAAAUUGGAACGAUGCAGAGAAGAUUAGCAUGGCCCCUGUGCAAGGAUGACACGCAAAAUGUGACACAUGACAGCACUCCUC